rnacentral:rRNA from 1 species
UACGGGGGGGCAAGGCGUUGUUCGGAAUUACUGGGCGUAAAGGGCUCGUAGGCGGCCAACUAAGUCAGACGUGAAAUCCCUCGGCUUAACCGGGGAACUGCGUCUGAUACUGGAUGGCUCGAGUUUGGGAGAGGGAUGCGGAAUUCCAGGUGUAGCGGUGAAAUGCGUAGAUAUCUGGAGGAACACCGGUGGCGAAGGCGGGUCUCUGGGCCGUUACUGACGCUGAGGAGCGAAAGCGUGGGGAGCGAACAGG